rnacentral:lncRNA from 1 species
GGAGAGUACCGGGUCGUGACACAUAUUAUUGGGACCAACAUAUUCUGCUUCUGCAUAAUUGAUUAAAUUUGAUUUUGAUACCUUUGAGUAAUAUAGGCCCAAGUCCAUGUUCCUCUGAGAUAUUGAAGUAAACAACUCCAUUUCAAUGUAUUAAGGUUUGAAGAAAACUAUAUCUUUUUAAUAAAUUUGCAACAAAUGAUAUAUC